ACAUCUCCUAAAUAAUCCUCAGCCGGUACUUCUGCUAGUCCGUGCCAUGCUUAUACUGGUGAUCAAGAUGCCUAUGUCUCCACCACCGUCGCUCAGCUGCUUGCCUCUGUGUUGGCUCGCCGGACCUACUGUUUGCGCUGUGCUUAAGGUCCUACUCACCGGUCUUCUCGUCGACAGCGCCAGUCGUGUCUCCCACCACGCCGACACUUUUUCUCCAUCGCUCGACUCCGUGCUCAGCGCUCUCACCAUCACCGCGUCUCUCCUCGCCGGUGUUCGCCGGACAUACGCUCAACCUCGCCACCGUGGGACUUACCUCUCCUCCAAACCGUGUUCGCCGCAGCCUAGCCAUCGUCUACCUCUAUGCUCAGCACGAAACCGCUCGCCCUACAGCCUCGUCGCGUCACCGUCCUGCAGGCACUGAGCUCCACCCACCUCGGCGAAGGCCACCGUCCCCUUCUUCACUGUGCACUCGGCAUCAACUUCCUGGUGCACACCGACACAACGCUCUGGUCGCGCGCCCUCCAUCGCACGCUCAGACACUUGCCCCUGUUCGUCACCUCGGGACUUCGCCGUCACCCGUACUUCGCUGGUUGUCAACUUCGCUGGCUGUGUUCGACCUCCAGCCACGUCACCAUCGUGCCCUUCAUCCGUUCGAAGAACACCUAGAAAAAGUGAUGUUUGAAGGAGUUCACUUCAGUGCCUGUUGAUCCAGUGGUGGAGUUUCAUCUAACUACUUACCAGAGUAGAAUAAUUUUGGGAUCUUCUGCUGCAAUAAGGAGAAGUUUUAUUCCCUUAUCUUUGGGUUAGUUACUUCAUGUGGAGGACUUGAAGCUUAGAAUGUUUUUAUAUAUCUCUUAUGGAGAGGCUUCACCCUUCCAAUUAUUGUAGUUAAGUUAUGCACUUCGAGUACUAUCAGGACUUGUAAUAAAUACAUCUCUUUCUACCAUGUAAAACUUGAGUUCUGGAAUGUAAAGCGUACUUUGUAAAAGUCUUCCGCUCUAUCUCCAAUGUCUGUGUAUCAAAUGUGAUUACUGUAAUAUACCUGUUAUGUGGGA